GCCCGGUGCCUGCCGAGGGGGAGCGGAGAUCGGGCGGUUGCCAAGAGACUGGAGGCUCUGACGCGCGCGCUGGUGAGGCCGUUGCUAUGGCGACCGCGGGCGGUGACGUCAGGGACCGGGCUCAGCAGCCGCCCGAGGCUGCCGGCGCCCCCUGCCGGGCACGGGCGACACUGCUGUGGCCCACCGACUAGGAGACAGUCUGCUUCGGGACCUCUUCCGGGGGGCGGGUAAACCCAUAGUGGGUACGGUGCCCCGUGGUUGCUCACUGCCCCCUUCGGACGCAGCAGGGUGGAAUAGGACCGCGGGAUUUUCGUCGUGGGGCUCUGGGGCUGGUGGGCCUAGACUGAUCACUCUGCUUCGCCGAGCACUCGAUGUGCAGCCAGCAGCCUCUGCCCCUUGACCCUCACUUCAUCCCUGAGAGGGCCGGCCAGCUGCAAGAAUGGCUGGUUCUAGGAAACUGUUGGUCAGUUGAACACCACUUAUUUUUGUUACAGGCAGAAAAAAAAAUCUCAAAAUAUUCAGCAAUUGGAAAGUUGAAGCAAGAAAACGCGACUCAUGGUCCUGAAGCCUCCUGCUUCAAGGGCCACCUCGAACUAGCUCACCAUGCUGGUCCGGCAGUGUUCUGGGGCAGCUGAUUAGGACUGGUGCUUUAGACACAGGCAGCGGAAGGACCCAGCCCCUACUCAGGGCUGAUAAGUGGGGCCCUUGGAGGACUGGGCACUUUGCCCAUUCCCUUGCUGUCUGCCAAUUGGCCCACCCUGUCUGUCCCCAAGCUGAGAACAGAUAGGACACAGGGUGGCUGGGACCUUGGGACUGACCCUGAGAGUGCCUGCCGGAAGCAGGGCCCAUUAAAGGGGAGACGGAGUAUGGAGAGAGUGGAAACGGGCAUGUGGGUGACUCCUUCUGUCUGUGUUCCCUCACACCUCAUCAGAAAGUAAGAUGUGUUCUUAAGGGCAGACUGGAAAAGGGACAGACGAUUCUCCAAAGGCAAGGAAGGCGGCAGUUUGGAGCUAAACUUACGUGUCUCCCUUCCUCGUGGCUUCCUGUGUGAGAGAAAAAUUAGCAAGGGGCGGGUAUUAAUCAAAAUUGAUUCAGAAUUCAUCAGAAUUGAUUCCUCAAGGGAGGAAGACUUUUUGGGCAGAUGGGGGGUGGUGUAGGCUAGCCUGAGAGAGAGAAUGAGGGGGCCAAAAUAUACUACUGUUACUAUACCUCACCCCCACAAAGAUUUCACCAGUUCCAUCCUGACCUUUUCUGGUUCAAGUAUUUCGAAGGGCAUUCAAGGACACUAGGCAUCUCAGGGUCCCUUUAGCCUUCCCAUAUGCUCCUCUGGUUUGUCCCAGGGGCAGUAUUUUUAGUCUCUCCCAUCUGAGAAGCUUACCGCUGCUCCCCUCGCCCUUGGGAAUCCUAACCUCUUACCCUGGUCCCAGGAGAGCUGGGCAGAGGGUAGGAAAACCCCUUUGUUCUUGCCUCAUGGGCCCUCAUCCCUUCCCAGCCUGUCCACCCACUGGCAUCCAUCUAGUCAAAGCCUUUCCAAAAGGUCUGAGGUGUUUGCAAACAUGUCCUCAGUGUGAGGUCCCAAAGGACAAAUGGCUGAGGUGCCCAUUAACGUAUCAGAACUGACACUUCUCAUUCCUAUGUAAGCUAACCACUGGACUCUCUUGGUUCUUCUCUUGGUCCUCUUUCCCUUGGUGUUGUCUCUCUCUCUCUCUCUCUCUCUCUCUCUCUCUCUCUCUCUCUCUCUCUCUCUCCCUCCCUCCCUCCCUCCCUCCCUCCCUCCCUCCCUCUCUCUCUCUCUCCUGGGUCUUCUUUUGUCCUCCUCUCUCCUUCCCCCCUUACUCCCCCUUCUCUCUCUCCUCUCACGGCUCAAUCUAUUGUGCUGGCUGUGUUCCGUCAGGACCCUUCCAGAUGCCUCUGGCUGAUCUCUCCCUCAUAUCUACAAUAAAAAAACAAAACAAAACAAAACAAAACAAAAAACCCUUCCCCUCAAUCAAACCUAAGAGCAGCCACGUCCUCACUUUCACUGAGUCAGCGCCAAAGAAAAGCUUGGGGCCCAGACCCAGUGGCGGAUGCUGCCUCAGAGGCAAACCUGGAACCAGGCAAACAUGUCUGGCUCCUGGGCAUCCACCUCCCAUUACUGUCCUGUGACCCUAUCUGUUCCUCCCAGAUCCUAGAGGAGCAGCUCGCUGUGUCCACAGAAGCAGAGAGUGGGGAAGGACCCGGGUUCUGUGGUAAUGUUUUGGCACUUGAGGAGGAAGAGAGCACCUGGCAUGCACUCUGGAGACGUGAGCAAAUGACUCAGGGAUUCCUCACCCAGAGCAGGGGAGGGAGCUCAGGGUUGUGCCUUACUGUACCAGUGAGGCCUAUGAUAAAGCUAAUCAAUUAGGCACAACGAGAGAUUAACAUGAACUACCCAUGCUACAGGAGAAGAGCAACGUUAAAUAUAAGCUAUGAAAUGUGUUCUGCCUCCUCCCAGUGGAAUGAGACGCAAUGAGGUAAGUGACACGGACCAGACACUGUGACCAUGUGGGGUUUGGCAUGCCCCGCCUUCCCCGAAUACAAGCACUAGAAUUCUGAGCCGUCUUUGAAAGGUAAGUCGGUGGGUGUCAUGUACAUGGUGGAUUCACUGGACAUGAUUCAUGACAUCUUGGACAGGAUAGAACAAGAUGGUCUGGGGUUUCAUCUUGAUGUUCAGGUUUCGUGCAAUUUCUUUCUAGAAAUUUCCAUGUAGUGUUUCCAGACUAAGGUUGACCACAGGUAACAGACAUUAUGAGAUCAAAAUGGGGUAGAGAGGGGAAGAUGGCUCUUCCGGGAAAUGUGCAGUGGAGAGUCGAAAGAUGCAGAAAUACGUAGAGAUGAAAACAGGCACAGGAGACGCUGUUGGUGUUUGAAGUUUCCCAUCCUGCCAUUUAUGACUGCAGUAAGGUUCCUCCACAUGGGGAUCACGCCUGUCUUUCCCAGUGGCCUGUGGAGAAAGCACCUUGCCUUGCCAGUAAGCACCAUGAAAAUCCUGGUUCCCAUGCUUAAAAUUGCAUUGUGGGAGGAUGAACUACGCCCCAUGCAGGCAUUAGGCUGGCCCCUCCUCUUUUUAUCCAGGAGACUGGACUCCUGCAGAAGAGGUAUUUGGAGCAUAGGCCUGUGGCCUGUGGGGACAGUGCCAGUUCCCAUUGUUCCCAGACUGCUCGAUACCUCCCCCUGUCCUUAGGAGACUACUUAAGAUGGGUCUGAGAGUCAGGGAGACAUUGAAAAUGGAUGUGGGUUCGUUAGCACUCUCUGGAGAAAGGAAUCCCUGGAGGCUAAAGGCAGAGCUACCUACAGAGGCUGGCAGUCACUUGUCACCGCAGCGCAGCCGCCAGUCCACUGAGCGUGUGGAGGCCUGUCCCUAGGUUGCCAAGGUGAUCCGCAGGCUCCUGCCUGUGAGGAUGGCUGCAGGGGUUGACAGGCAUUUUUUUUUCUUUCUUGGCCAGCAGUAGGGUAUUCAUUUUCUCUGACCUGGUUUCCAUGACUUCGGGCAUUGUUGCUGUUUGUUUAAAAGGAGCAGUGCACCAGCUUGUGUCAAGGGAUGUCGAGGACAUCAUUGGGCCCGCUAGGAAAAAUGGCCUACAUUACUGUCAUGCCCCAAACACCCUGAAGACCAUACACAAGAACCUCAUGACAGCCAGGAGCCAUGCAAAGAUGUGCAGCAGUGUGAGCCUCGGCACACACUGUGAGGCUGGCGCCUCAUCUGUGAUCUAGCGAAGCCACAGGAAACACAGGAAAAGGACAGGCCCAGAGGAAACACACAUUGCCUGUGGUUCAAGGCUCCGUGUUAGUGCUUAGAUCAAGUCUGGACUCAGCCUGAGCCUCCUGGAACGAGCUGGACCAAAGGUGUUACAGGCCUGGGUACGUGUCCCCUCCAGUCUCAAAACCAGGAAUCCACACUUGUGUUUCAGGGCCAGCUCCCCAGAAGAUACUUUUCAACCAGGUACUGAGUGGGGACAGACAAGGUGCUGGAGAGGCAAACUUAAAGCAAAAGGCAAGUUCAGAGCUGGGAGGGUGACAGAGAGGCUGGGCUCAUGGAAACCAACGGGGAUAGCACUUGGAGAGGGGCACAAUCCUGAAGACAUCUAUUCCCUGUGCCUGCCAGACUCCAAGGCUCCCCCCUCAGUCGCCUCCUCUCACAGAGAAUGCCCAGGAACUGGACACUGGGCUACUGGAGUGUUCCUGGAGGUAGGGUGUCCUGGGACUGGUCCUCUGUACCCACUCUGUCUCUUACCCUUUUUCUGUGAGUCGCAUCCUAUCCUCUUGGACCUCAACCUCAUCCACGGCAGUCUUCCCACGUCACUAAGAGUCCUUUAGGACUAGAUGUUCUCCAAGCUCCACCCCCAAAACCAAACAAGAAAGGAGAGAAGGACCAGCAAGGAGAAACUCUCAAUGACCUCAAAGGCUGGCUCCCGUGUAGGCCCCAUAAGAAGCAGGCCGAGACCGGGCCUUGCCUGGCACGUCUCACUCAGGAUGCCAGGGAGUGACACCUUGACUUCACUUCUUGGGCCACUAGGAUACUGGGCCCCUUCCUCACUUUCUGACCUUGGGUGGAGGGAGGGAGGGAAAGUAUGUGGCUAAAACACAGGACUUCUGCUUCCUCAGCUAGCUUUUCUUUCUUUUGGAAGAGCGUAGGACUCUCCAGUAGGCUGAACCUUUCAGGACCCUGGCUGCUCAUUCUGCCACAGUUCCCACACUGGGAGGAACAGCUGGGGGUCAAGGUGGGGUCAGAAGAUCCCCGAAAACGAAACACAUGCCUAUCAAACGUAACACAAGAACGUAUGAGACUCAUACUGGACAGACAGACUCCAAAGGACCCUGCACCCUAUGUGACUGGCUUCUCUCAGGAUGCUGAGUCAGUUUAGAACAUCACUGCGCCUGCAGAGCACACACCUCCUGAACUCCAGGUCCAAGGUGGGUGUGGAGGCUUCAGAAGGACCUGUCCAUGGUCCCUUCCAUCCCUGCCCAACCUCUGCCUCAGAGAGGCUUCACUGCCUUGCUGGUCUCUUUUCUCUUUUUUUCCCCUCCCCCUCCUUUGUUUUCUUCCCCCCCUCCCCCUCUUUCUUUCUUUUUCCUGAGACAGAAUUUCUCUGUGUAGCCCUGGCCGACCUAGAACUAGCUCUGAAGAUCAAGAUAGCCUCGAACUCACAGAGAUCUGCCUGUCUCUGCCUCCCCAGUGCUGGGAUUAAAGGUGUGCGCCACCACAAUCCAGCCGGUCUCUUUCUUCUUAUGAGGACCCAGUCAGUUUGAGAUUUAGGACACCCCACCACUCCAGGAUGACCUCAUCUUGGCCAGUUGCAACAGCUGUUUUCACAGGGGUUGGGGGACUUACAACAUCUUCCGGGAGAGGCAGUUUAGCCGGAAUGGCACGGAUUUGAACUUGUACGCGGCCAUUGCUGGGCGUUCACGCCACUGGCUGAGAGUUCCCACUGGUGACUGGAGGUUAACUGUUGGCUGCAUGUUAGUCUGAAGGGCCGGCUCUCAUUUUCCACCCAGGUUUCGCGACUGGAUCUCAUCCAAGGCCUUUCUCAUUGAAAUGCAGCUCGACCCGUUUCACCCAAAAAAUGAGAACGGGUGUUUAGCACAGGCAGGCUGAGACAUACAUGCACACACACACACACACACACACACACACACACACACACGCACAUGCACAUGAGCAUGCACACACAUACACACAAACAUGCACACACACACACACACACACACACACACACACACACACACACA